GUGGAGCAAGGAGGUAACAGGAGGGGAGCCGGUGAGGAGGAAUCUGACGUGCAUUUUAAAGUCCCGAGUGAGCAGAGCUCUGAUUAGCACCUUGCUCAAGAUGACUUGGGCGUGAGAGGAAAGGACAAACGAGCAGUGUAAGAAGGCUAUUAAUCACUUGACUGCUAGGUGCUUAGAACGCAGUCUUUCAAACAGAAGAUGUACAAGGAGAUGAAUGUAUCUUCCAUCCUCCUCCGGGAAACAGACCACAGCUUUUCACCCAACCAAGCACAAUGCAGGGACGUCUGAUGGCUGAAUGUCCUAUGUCUUUGUGGCUCACCUUUAAGAGAAAGCAGAACACGAGCAGCUGUCCAGUGAGUGAUUCUGUGCCAGCUGAUGUGGAAUUGUUGUGCAGAAGAUGAGCACAGCCAAGCCCUCUUCUGUAUAUUGGAAUCUACUGCGGGGAUCCCUGUACCUGGACUUCUCGAUGAAGCAGUGGCAGCUGGUGCAGUGUAGAGCCUUGGGCUGAGCAAGCUGAGCCCAGGGCUGGAUGGUCCCAAACCUCUUGUGCUGUGGGGCUGGAGGAGCUUCCUUUGCCCAGUGAUGAAAUGGAGACAGAAACCCUAAGGUGGAACAAGAGAAAAACACCUCUAUCAGCAAGGUGAAGUUCAAUAAAAGCUGGAAAAAUAUUUAGUCCUCUUGCCCUUCUGAGAGUGAACAAAGCAUCACUGAUGCCACAUGCCACACAUAGAGUGAUUGAAUGAUGAGCACAUUCUGAAAAAAUUUAGUUUAAUCUCAGGUCGCCAGAGAGAUUAGGAGUUCAGGUAACCCUUGGUGAUUCCCAGGGCCUGCUGCCUCUGCAGGGCUCCUCUGUGUUUUGACUGGAGGGAGCCUUGGGCAGCUGUCCUUAGAACAGGUACACCAGUGCCAAAUGUGACUGAAAUCAAGCGGAUUUAGUUCAUCUGCCUCUGAAAACCUCAAAGCAGAGAGGGGAUCAGUGCCACAUGGUUGGGAAAGGAGUGCAUGUCCAUGCUGAUGCAUCUCUGUUGGCAAAGAAAGUUGUUUCUCGCUACUGCAAUGUUUGAAAAAUGGAUUCAUGCUUGCUUGGUGGUAUUAGUAGGCGUGGAAAAAACCUGAAAUAUUGGUGCAUGUAAAUUAACAAUCCAAAUACUGAUUUCUAAUUAUCAGCACAAAAUUAGACAUUAAAUAACAUGGGAAGCAUUCAUAGGCAUCAGUAUUUUUCCUUUAAUUUUUCUGAAGUCUUGAUCUAGUGUUGAUAUGCUUAGUAUCCUACUACUGAUACUAUUUUUUCUUCCCUUGUAAGUGCCUUUGAUUUUUGAAUCAUGGAUAAAUUUCUGCACACUGGACUAAAAUCCAUAAAUCUGUUCCUUCCUGAACCAUUAUAAUAGUCCUACUCUUAUGUCAGUGAUGUUGAUAAUGCUUCAAGCUCAGACUGUCAAACCCGGGUCUCUUAAAAGAAGAAAAAAUAUAUGCUCAGAACAGUUGUGAUCCUCAGUCUUAGUGUAUAUUUCAAAAUUGGAAAAAAUUGAUUGAGAA